CCUACGGGAGGCAGCAGUGGGGGAUAUUGCACAAUGGGGGAAACCCUGAUGCAGCGACGCCGCGUGUGGGAAGACGGUCCUCUGGAUUGUAAACCACUGUCCCCAGGGACGAAGAUGACGGUACCUGGGGAGGAAGCUCCGGCUAACUACGUGCCAGCAGCCGCGGUAAUACGUAGGGAGCGAGCGUUGUCCGGAAUUACUGGGUGAAAAGGGAGCGUAGGCGGGGAUGCAAGUUGGGUGUCAAAACUACCGGCUCAACUGGUAGUCGCACUCAAAACUGCAGCUCUUGAGUGAAGUAGAGGCAGGCGGAAUUCCUGGUGUAGCGGUGAAAUGCGUAGAUAUCAGGAGGAACACCGGUGGCGAAGGCGGCCUGCUGGACUGCGACUGACGUUGAGGCCCGAAAGCGUGGGGAGCAAACAGGAUUAGAUACCCGAGUAGUC
rnacentral:rRNA from 1 species